rnacentral:rRNA from 1 species
GGCGUGCUUAACACAUGCAAGUCGAACGGAAAGGCCCUGCUUUUGUGGGGUGCUCGAGUGGCGAACGGGUGAGUAACACGUGAGUAACCUGCCCUUGACUUUGGGAUAACUUCAGGAAACUGGGGCUAAUACCGGAUAGGAGCUCCUGCUGCAUGGUGGGGGUUGGAAAGUUUCGGCGGUUGGGGAUGGACUCGCGGCUUAUCAGCUUGUUGGUGGGGUAGUGGCUUACCAAGGCUUUGACGGGUAGCCGGCCUGAGAGGGUGACCGGCCACAUUGGGACUGAGAUACGGUCCAGACUCCUACGGGAGGCAGCAGUGGGGAAUAUUGCACAAUGGGCGGAAGCCUGAUGCAGCAACGCCGCGUGCGGGAUGACGGCCUUCGGGUUGUAAACCGCUUUCGCCUGUGACGAAGCGUGAGUGACGGUAAUGGGUAAAGAAGCACCGGCUAACUACGUGCCAGCAGCCGCGGUGAUACGUAGGGUGCGAGCGUUGUCCGGAUUUAUUGGGCGUAAAGGGCUCGUAGGUGGUUGAUCGCGUCGGAAGUGUAAUCUUGGGGCUUAACCCUGAGCGUGCUUUCGAUACGGGUUGACUUGAGGAAGGUAGGGGAGAAUGGAAUUCCUGGUGGAGCGGUGGAAUGCGCAGAUAUCAGGAGGAACACCAGUGGCGAAGGCGGUUCUCUGGGCCUUUCCUGACGCUGAGGAGCGAAAGCGUGGGGAGCGAACAGGCUUAGAUACCCUGGUAGUCCACGCUGUAAACGGUGGGUACUAGGUGUGGGGUCCAUUCCACGGGUUCCGUGCCGUAGCUAACGCUUUAAGUACCCCGCCUGGGGAGUACGGCCGCAAGGCUAAAACUCAAAGGAAUUGACGGGGCCCCGCACAAGCGGCGGAGCAUGCGGAUUAAUUCGAUGCAACGCGUAGAACCUUACCUGGGUUUGACAUGGAUCGGGAGUGCUCAGAGAUGGGUGUGCCUCUUUUGGGGUCGGUUCACAGGUGGUGCAUGGCUGUCGUCAGCUCGUGUCGUGAGAUGUUGGGUUAAGUCCCGCAACGAGCGCAACCCUUGUUCACUGUUGCCAGCACGUUAUGGUGGGGACUCAGUGGAGACCGCCGGGGUCAACUCGGAGGAAGGUGGGGAUGACGUCAAGUCAUCAUGCCCCUUAUGUCCAGGGCUUCACGCACGCUACAAUGGCUGGUACAGAGAGUGGCGAGCCUGUGAGGGUGAGCGAAUCUCGGAAAGCCGGUCUCAGUUCGGAUUGGGGUCUGCAACUCGACCCCAUGAAGUCGGAGUCGCUAGUAAUCGCAGAUCAGCAACGCUGCGGUGAAUACGUUCCCGGGGCUUGUACACACCGCCCGUCAAGUCAUGAAAGUUGGUAACACCCGAAGCCGGUGGCCUAACCGUUGUGGGGGAGCCGUCGAAGGUGGGACUGGUGAUUAGGACUAAGUCGU